GUGCUUGCUUUGGCAGCACGUAUACUAACAUUGGAACAAUACAGAGAUUAUCAUAGCCCCUGUGCAAGGAUGACACACAAAUUUGUGAAGCGUUCCAUAUUUUU
rnacentral:snRNA from 2 species